rnacentral:rRNA from 1 species
AGAGUUUGAUCCUGGCUCAGGAUGAACGCUAGCUACAGGCUUAACACAUGCAAGUCGAGGGGCAGCAUGGUCUUAGCUUGCUAAGGCCGAUGGCGACCGGCGCACGGGUGAGUAACACGUAUCCAACCUGCCGUCUACUCUUGGACAGCCUUCUGAAAGGAAGAUUAAUACAAGAUGGCAUCAUGAGUCCGCAUGUUCACAUGAUUAAAGGUAUUCCGGUAGACGAUGGGGAUGCGUUCCAUUAGAUAGUAGGCGGGGUAACGGCCCACCUAGUCUUCGAUGGAUAGGGGUUCUGAGAGGAAGGUCCCCCACAUUGGAACUGAGACACGGUCCAAACUCCUACGGGAGGCAGCAGUGAGGAAUAUUGGUCAAUGGGCGAGAGCCUGAACCAGCCAAGUAGCGUGAAGGAUGACUGCCCUAUGGGUUGUAAACUUCUUUUAUAAAGGAAUAAAGUCGGGUAUGUAUACCCGUUUGCAUGUACUUUAUGAAUAAGGAUCGGCUAACUCCGUGCCAGCAGCCGCGGUAAUACGGAGGAUCCGAGCGUUAUCCGGAUUUAUUGGGUUUAAAGGGAGCGUAGAUGGAUGUUUAAGUCAGUUGUGAAAGUUUGCGGCUCAACCGUAAAAUUGCAGUUGAUACUGGAUAUCUUGAGUGCAGUUGAGGCAGGCGGAAUUCGUGGUGUAGCGGUGAAAUGCUUAGAUAUCACGAAGAACUCCGAUUGCGAAGGCAGCACACUAAUCCGUAACUGACGUUCAUGCUCGAAAGUGUGGGUAUCAAACAGGAUUAGAUACCCUGGUAGUCCACACGGUAAACGAUGAAUACUCGCUGUUUGCGAUAUACAGCAAGCGGCCAAGCGAAAGCGUUAAGUAUUCCACCUGGGGAGUACGCCGGCAACGGUGAAACUCAAAGGAAUUGACGGGGGCCCGCACAAGCGGAGGAACAUGUGGUUUAAUUCGAUGAUACGCGAGGAACCUUACCCGGGCUUAAAUUGCAGAUGAAUUACGGUGAAAGCCGUAAGCCGCAAGGCAUCUGUGAAGGUGCUGCAUGGUUGUCGUCAGCUCGUGCCGUGAGGUGUCGGCU